UACGAAGGGGGCUAGCGUUGUUCGGAAUUACUGGGCGUAAAGCGUAUGCAGGCGGAUCGUUAAGUCGGGGGUGAAAUCCCGAGGCUCAACCUCGGAACUGCCUUCGAUACUGGCGAUCUUCGAGUCCGGGAGAGGUGAGUGGAACUCCGAGUGUAGAGGUGAAAUCCGUAGAUAUUCGGAAGAACACCAGUGGCGAAGGCGGCUCACUGGCCCGGUACUGACACUGAGAUACGAAAGCGUGGGGAGCAAACAGG
rnacentral:rRNA from 1 species